rnacentral:sRNA from 1 species
CCAUCGUGCUCAUCAUCUCAACCGACGGUGCUCAACGUCGACUAGUUUGGUGAACUUAAUCGGAGAGGACUGUGAACCAAAUCGGAGAUGGGGUU